CCAGAAAGAGCUCUCAUGGAGGCCAUGUGUCCUUGUGUCUGCUCAAYCUCUGCUGCCCGAGCUGUGGAGCUGGGAGGCAAACGGUGGCUAUUGAUCUGUUCCAGCACCAGCAUCCCGAGCGGAGCCACGAGGGCUUUUGCCCRCGGCAUUAUCACAGCCAUUGACUCCAGAGCCUCGUGUCCCACGGGAGGGACAAGCUGUACUYGCCCCAGCAAGGGCACCAGCUACGUGCAGAGCAACCUGGACCUUCAUGGGUCAGGUCAGAUCUCGGAUAUUUGGGAAGGCAUUAAAAUCUCUAGAUUUUAAGAUCUCUAAGCUCUCGGCCAUGGGAAAGCAUUAAAAUCUCUAAAUCCUUCAAGACUGACUUGUCCUCAAGACUAUUCUGUACAACUAGUUGUUUACUGGGCCAGACUACCAAAGCCAGAAGAGCACCCUGAGCAAGGGCCUUUCCUCAAGCGCUUGCCACCACUUGGCAUGUGUCUUGUAUUUGUUCAUGUUUGGGACACAGGAGUUUUUUGGCUCACAGGAGGGAUCUCCAAUGCCACAAAGCCUUCUGAGCUCUUGGCUUGGCUCUUUCUUUGGUUGGAUUUACAGGAAGAUGAUUGUUUGAGGGAACUGCCCCUAUUUCUUGUUUCAAGCUUGAUGGAAUAUCAAACUAAUGGACUCUGUCUCCUAGUUUAACCAGUCUUGAGGUGUAGACAAGGUAGGAGAGCAUGAAAAAUCUGACAAAAAUAAACACACACAAAUCCAAGACAAACCAACUCUAAAGUGCUAGGGCAAUAGGACUCUCAUAUUCCUUGUGCUGCAAUACAAGGAAGCAAGAAAUGCAGAUUAAGGACAACUCCCUAAUGGAGUCUACAUGGUUCAGGCUAUGAAAUUAGGUGGCCUGUGGCUUUCCUGGCUGCUCUGCUGACAUUUCUUUCCUUUGUAUGGUCUAAUCCUAGUCAUCAUCUGCCUGCUUUCUUUUGGAAAUAGUCCUUCAGCAUGAGAUGARGAAAUAAAAUUGGGGACAAGGGACACAUUUGUAGACAGCUAUGGAUGUUUUUGCCUUGCUGUUUGAGCGCCUUACCUAUGUAGAAGGGACAAACAUGGAAGUGAUGAAAUACAUAGCAUAAUCUGUAUAAACAUAAAUAUUUUUGUCCUAUUAACUGGGAAGUGCAUGAAAACCCCACUUAGUCCUGAUCCUGACAAAAGACAGUAACUUCUAACUCACAUAGAAAAUGUGGAAAUCAUUAUGCUUUGCACAGCUGGGACUUCAUAAAAUGAGCUGUGAUAAAUGUGUGUUACCUGAAAGUGAACAUCUGCAGAAUAGGAACAGAAAGUUUCCUUGUCUUUUGUGAAGCCAAAGCUAAGGAAGGAACUGAAAUAAGGAUGGUGAAAAAGGAGAAAGUGGAAGAUGGGGGGAAAAGUCACUUAACACAAUAAGUCUGCUUUUCUAUGGGAUUAACUCAGCCCCUGCUUUCCUGCUUUGCCACAGCCUUUUYUCUCUCCAUGAAUGUGUUUCUGCAUUCUAAAAAUGACUACAGUGUUUUGUCACRCUAUGUAACCCUUCAAAUAUCUUCAUAUAUGACACCCUAAGUACUAGAGGACCAAGGUCGCUAUUCCUAUGUGUUGAAACACCGUUUGGGAGAAGAUGGGGUAGCAUAAGAAUAUCUUCAGCCUAUGCUUUAACU